GGGGCUGUAGCUCAGUUGGGAGAGCGCUUGAAUGGCAUUCAAGAGGUCAGGGGUUCAACUCCCCUCAGCUCCA
rnacentral:tRNA from 1 species